ACAAGUGGUAAGAAGCAAGCAGGUCCCGGGGAUCGGGCCUUAGCCAGCAGGUGGACAUCCCCUGAGGGGUCCUGGACUGUGAGAGGGUGCAGGCCGGGCUGAGGGAUGUCCCCCUCCCCAGUGCAUGAAUUCCAUGCACUGAGGCUCUAGUUCAAUAUAUUAAUUAUUCAGCUUGAUAUUUCUUUAAAUAGCAGAAAAGGAAAUCAGUGUAUGCUUACAGCACUGUAACAUUAAAAUAAAAUUACCUUACUAUGUUGUAGGGAUAAGUCAACUCAAUGAAACUAGACCUCUCCUAUUUCUCAGACACAGCAAAGGAUAGAGAAAAUUAAAGAACAUGCUUAUUUCAUCAAAUGAUCAAUCAAAUUAAGACAUCAAUGAUUAAGAUUAUGGUACAAAACAGCAGUCAAAUAUGCUACAUGAUAUAUAUUUAAACAAAUGAAGCAGUCAACUACACCUGGGUGGUCCCUCCCCAACACCCUCAGGAUCCAAGUCAGGUAACCAUCCUUGCUCGCUAGCAGCAGACAAUACAGGGCAGUAAUUGAAGCCAAAGAAAUGUGCCUUGGAGACAGGAUUUUUCAAACUGCAAUUUGGGACCCAUAAAUCGAUUUAGUGAAUUUAGCAUUUUUAAUUAAAGGGAAUGAAAUGUAAUAGAAAUUAUUGGACUGCAUCAAGGAUAAACACUGCUUUGUGGAACUUUUCAUUCAUACGUAGGUAUGUACUGGAUCGUGAUACUAAAUGUACUUCUCUCUAGGAGCAUGGUUUUAAAAAAAGAAGUUUGAAAGCUCCUACUCCAGAGAUCUAGGUCUGAUGGCUCGGGACCCAGGGCUGGAUGCUUUCCACAGUCCUCAGCUGCUACACAAAAUCUCCGCUCAGCAUGACUCCUGGAAGCCAAAGGGAGCUCCUGGCAGCGCGAAGGAGGAGCCGGACGCGCCUGGCUCCACUCGCAAGAGCACUCACUCCCCCAGCAGCCUCGGCGGGGCCUGCAGCCUCCCGGCAGGAACAUACAUGGAGUAGGAUGGUGCUGGCUGAUCCUGAGGAGAAUUCAGCCUGUGUGGAUAUGUUAGCUGAAGUGUGAGGAGCUGAGCUAAUCCCACAAAUGCAAUUUAAGGAAGCCUGGAAAUGAGAUAGUGGUGACAAUCUCUAAUUACUGUUGACAGCGAAGAGGAAGAAGCAUAAUAGGAGAGCCAGAAUCCUGCCCCCGCCCCCACCCUGCUGUUGAUGAAAACAGAACAGCAACAGCUGCCUCUUACAGCAGGGUCCUGUUUCCAUCCACAUGGGUACCAGACUCCACUCCAAGGAGAUGAAGCAAAGUCUGUUUUUCUAAACAUCAAAAAAAUUGUGUGUGUGUCCAAUUAUAUACAUCAUCUGAAUAUUGCAUUGUGUGUUCAUCACCACCCCAAAUUUUUUAACAACCCCAAGACACAGUGCUGCUUCCUCUACUAAAGCCUAUC